rnacentral:rRNA from 1 species
GACGACGACUCCUACGGGGAGGCAGCAGUGGGGAAUAUUGCACAAUGGGGGAAACCCUGAUGCAGCCAUGCCGCGUGUGUGAAGAAGGCCUUCGGGUUGUAAAGCACUUUCAGUAGGGAGGAAGGUAGUGUAGUUAACACCUGCAUUAUUUGACGUUACCUACAGAAGAAGCACCGGCUAACUCCGUGCCAGCAGCCGCGGUAAUACGGAGGGUGCGAGCGUUAAUCGGAAUUACUGGGCGUAAAGCGCAUGCAGGCGGCCUGUUAAGUCAGAUGUGAAAGCCCGGGGCUUAACCUCGGAAUUGCAUUUGAAACUGGCAGGCUAGAGUCUUGUAGAGGGGGGUAGGAAUUUCAGGUGUAGCGGUGAAAUGCGUAGAGAUCUGAAGGAAUACCAGUGGCGAAGGCGGCCCCCUGGACAAAGACUGACGCUCAGAUGCGAAAGCGUGGGGAGCAAACAGGAUUAGAUACCCUGGUAG